AAAAGCCAGGCGCAGGGCCCACUCGACGACGAAAAAAGAACGACGCAGCUCAUGCGUCGACGGAUGCCGCCGCGAGCAGAUCAGCCGCUGCCACCACCAUCGCUCGGAACCCGACGCCGUCGGGGAGCUCGUAGCUGCGCCGCCAGGGAGAGCCGGAGGCUGCCGCCGGGGAGCUCUCGGCCGCGCCGCCGGGGAAGCCUGAGGGCGCCGUUGCCGCUCCACGUCGCGACGACCCUGCCGCUGCUCCCGUCUUCGUCCGACAUCGGUGGUCGAGGGCGCCGCCGCACGGCCGUCUUCCCGGCGCCGCCGCACAGCCGUCUUCCCGCCACCGCCGUCUUCCAGAUCCGCGCCGCGCCGCCGUCUUCAAGGGCGCCGCCGCACGGCCCGGAGGACGCCGCCGCCGCCGCCCGGCCCGGAGGAGAGGAGAGCCGGCGCUGGCAGAGGGAGGAGGGGAGCCGGCGUCGGCGAAGGGAGGAGGGGAUUUGGGGGAGGAGAAAUUUGGGGAUUUGCCGGUUUGGGGGUAGUUGGGGAUUUGUGGGUCCCACUAGCAGAUAUUUGUGGGUCCCACUCAGUGCUUGCACUGUGAAGAGAGGGUCUUCAUCCUAGCUGUCAGGUUGCAGAGAAAUGAAUGAUUGAAUAGUUAGCUGGAGUAUGUGGGAAUGGAAGUGCAAGGGAGCCUGCCAUUGCACCAGUAUCUCAUAAUUGUAGAGGAGCAGGGAAUGAACAGAAUUUCUAUAGAUGGCACAAGAAAGCAAAGAAUGAUAUUCUCUACAGAAGUAAAGCUAAAGACCAGGGUGAAACGUCGAACGGUGAACAAUUGGGGAAAAAAAUAUAGUAAUUGCUUCUUUCACCAAGACAACAGUAAUAGCAGCCCUCAAUCUGAUAAUGGCUUGUUCGUAUAAUUCGUCUCUGCUUGAAAAGCUCCUGC